rnacentral:rRNA from 1 species
UACGUAGGGAGCGAGCGUUGUCCGGAAUCAUUGGGCGUAAAGCGCGCGUAGGCGGCCCGAUAAGUCCGCUGUAAAAGUCAACGGCUCAACUGUUGAAAGCCGGUGGAUACUGUCGGGCUAGAGUCCGGAAGAGGAGAAUGGAAUUCCCGGUGUAGCGGUGAAAUGCGCAGAUAUCGGGAAGAACACCCGUGGCGAAGGCGGUUCUCUGGGACGG